AGACAGCAGUAGCCGCGGUAAUACAGAGGGUGCGAGCGUUAAUCGGAUUUACUGGGCGUAAAGCGUGCGUAGGCGGCUUCUUAAGUCGGAUGUGAAAUCCCUGAGCUUAACUUAGGAAUUGCAUUCGAUACUGGGAAGCUAGAGUAUGGGAGAGGAUGGUAGAAUUCCAGGUGUAGCGGUGAAAUGCGUAGAGAUCUGGAGGAAUACCGAUGGCGAAGGCAGCCAUCUGGCCUAAUACUGACGCUGAGGUACGAAAGCAUGGGGAGCAAACAGGAUUAGAUACCCCGGUAGUCCCUGUCUCUUAUAA
rnacentral:rRNA from 1 species